ACCAGAGCCAGAUCUCUGUGCAGUUCUCGGCUGGUUUCCCACUGAAGCUAAGCAGGAUUGAGUCUGGUCAGUACCUGGAUGGGAGAUCUCCUGGGGAAAAAUAAGGUUGCUGCUGGCA
rnacentral:rRNA from 1 species